UACGUAGGGGGCGAGCGUUGUCCGGAUUCAUUGGGCGUAAAGCGCGUGUAGGCGGCCCGGUAAGUCCGCUGUGAAAGUCGGGGGCUCAACCCUCGGAUGCCGGUGGAUACUGUCGGGCUAGAGUGCGGAAGAGGCGAGUGGAAUUCCUGGUGUAGCGGUGAAAUGCGUAGAUAUCAGGAGGAACACCCGUGGUGUAGACGGCUUGCUGGACAGUCACUGACGCUGAGGCACGAAAGCGUGGGGAGCAAACAGG
rnacentral:rRNA from 1 species